CUCCAGACUCCUACGGGAGGCAGCAGUGGGGGAUAUUGCACAAUGGGGGAAACCCUGAUGCAGCGACGCCGCGUGAGUGAAGAAGUAAUUCGUUAUGUAAAGCUCUAUCAGCAGGGAAGAAAAUGACGGUACCUGAGUAAGAAGCCCCGGCUAACUACGUGCCAGCAGCCGCGGUAAUACGUAGGGGGCAAGCGUUAUCCGGAUUUACUGGGUGUAAAGGGAGCGUAGACGGCAGUGCAAGUCUGGAGUGAAAGGCGGGGGCUCAACCCCCGGACUGCUCUGGAAACUGUACGGCUAGAGUACGGGAGGGGCAGGCGGAAUUCCUAGUGUAGCGGUGAAAUGCGUAGAUAUUAGGAGGAACACCGGCGGCGAAGGCGGCCUGCUGGGCUUUAACUGACGCUGAGGCUCGAAAGCGUGGGUAGCAAACAGGAUUAGAUACCCUAGUAUG
rnacentral:rRNA from 1 species